rnacentral:lncRNA from 1 species
GCUGUAUUAUACUAUAUAAAAUGUCUAAAUUUUCAUUAUUACAGACUCCAAUUUUGUCUUAUCAAUGAUAUCAACGCCUUUCAAAAGAAGAACAAAUUUUAGAUUAUAUUUCAAGUUUUGUUUCCAGAUUUUAUAAAUAUCUUGUGGUGUUUUAGGCGUUUUAUUAAAUUUUAUUGAAUUCCUAAUUUUCCAUAGUGUCCAUUUAAAAUAUAUGAUUAUUAUGUUUAAAAAAUUAUCAUAUUUUAGUUCUCCUGUGUUUUUACCCAAUAGAACCUCCUUUUCACCAAAAGAUUUAUUUAUUCCUAUUUUUGACUUAAUAAGUAUUUCUUGGAGGUUUUUUAAAAUUAACUGUGAUGUACUACAACUGAAAAAUAAGUGUUGCAGGGUUUCUAUAUUAUUGUCAUUUUGACAAAUGUGGCAUUUUCCAUUUGAUAUCUUCAUUUUUUUUAAUCUUUCUUCAGUAUAUAAAAUAUUGUGCAAGGAUUUCCAUUGGAAUUCUUUUACUUUAUUUUCAAUUUUCAAAAAUUUAAGUCCCGACCACAUAUUUUCCCAAGGUAUAUUUGUUCCAAAUAUUUCCUCCCACUUAAUUUGACAUUUUGGAGAUACAUCUUUAUUUAAAACCGUACGAAUAUAAUUGAGUUUUAACUUUGAUGGUUUGAUUUUUUGGUUGUUUAAUUUAAUGAUCUCAAGGUCAUUUGAAAUCCUUAAUUUACUUUCAUGUUGCAAAUUCUGGUUUCCGCAAGAUUUCAAAAUUUGCACGAAAUCUUUAGGAAUUGCCUGUUUAAUUUUUGAAAAUUCGGAAAUACAAUUUCUUCGAUCAAUCAACUUCUUAUAAAUUUCAUUGCAGCUGAUGAAAUCUGUAGUUUCUAAAUUCCAAAUGUCCUGGAUAGUUGUGAAACCG